CAUGAUUCUCCCACUCCAGACAGACGCAGGUUAAGAUCCUCCCUGAACCCAGGACCACUAGCCUAAGGAUGGCUCCACCCACCAUGGCUGGGCCCUCCUCCAUUGAUCACUAAUUGAGAAAAUGCCUUACAGUUGGGUCUCAUGGAGGCUUUUCCUCAACUGAGGUUCCUUCCUCUCUGAUGACUCUAGUUUGUCAAGUUGACACAAAACCAGGCAGUACAGGAUCACGAGAGACCAAGACAGACUUUGAAGAAGUUGUCAAAAUCAACAGCACAUGCCAAGGGACUGUGGCACAAGGGUCCUUGGUGGCCAUGAAGAACGCUAAGCCUGUGCAACCAAAGCGCAGAGAGAAAAGCAUAGGCCGGACUCUGGGGCCUUCACGUCCAUAGGAUGGAUUCCAGUUUUCUCCCUCUCUCCACCCCAUCUCCCUUUCUCUCUCACACACACACAAUUUUUGUAAUAAAAAAAAAUUUAAACUUUCGUCCAGGCCCCUUGGAGCACAAACUCCCUGGCCUGGCACCCUGCCAGCAGUUCUCCAGGGAACCCAUCCCAGCUGAUCCUUGCUCCCGGACCCAAGUUAUCCAUGUCAGGGUGAACCUGAGCCAGGACUGACUGGGCCCUAAAUCCUGGAAAAUAUCAGGACCACUUCUUUCCUGACGACCCUCCCAAACCUGUAGGGUCCUCCCCUCCAGUCCCUGGGGGAUUCCCUACUGGGAUAUCCUGAUAGGUUAAACACAACCUUUCUGUCCAGAGUAGCUGCUGUGCAGCCUGACCCCUUUCCUUUAAGCCUGCAGGGUUGGUCCUCUCAUCUGUGAAAUGGGGAUAUUCGUCAUUCCAUAAUAUGGUCUGGGCCUCCUUCCUUAAGGAGGUCUGGGUUCCGGGUCACACCAGGCACUGCCCUAUUGGCAGGAACAGAGGCAACCGAGGGGCCCCUGCUUGAAUACCCAAGGUCCCCUCCCCACCUCCAUCAUUUUCUAUCAGCCCCAUUUGUUUCCUCCACAACCGUUUCCAGUCUCCAUGAUGAGCCCAACAGGCAGAUCCACUCCAUAACCCUUGUUGGUGCAGGGGAGCCAUGCAGGAUGGGGAUGGGCGGGUCAGCUCGGCUGUAACGAGAAAGAGCCCGAGCUGCUGGUCACUUCAUUCGCUGAGACUCCAAGCAAGAUUUCUGGCUGGCUCCUCCUUGGAGCAGACUCCCAAUAGGGAUGAGUUCCAGAUCUUUCCAUCGGAGAUGCUGCUUCCUUGUCCUGUGGCUCAGCUUCAGAGGAGAGGGCUCCCUGGCCACUGCAGUCCCUCCAGGCCUCUGUGGUCCUUCCUUCAACUUUCCUUCGGAGGCCAGACCAUCUCCGUGUGUACACAACUAAGCCUGGGGUUGACUGUAUCGUCACUCAGAGUCACCAGUCAGCACCAAGUGCCCAGCCAUGCUCAGUCAGAGGAAACAAGCAAGUUUCUCAGCCACGUUCCUCAUCUGAAAAAGCCAUGAGAUCACAUGUGAGUAACGCCAGGCUAGAACCCAUGGACCAGAGCCAAGCCAACUAUCAGCAACAGUGCAGGCCACCGACUCAGGAGAAGCCUCACAUGACAAGCCAACCAGAACUUCCAUUUCUCGAAGAUACAUGCGUUCAGUGUCCCGGGCUUCCCCCAGAGGAGCUGUUGUGUCCAUCAGCAAGCUUGCAGAGCAGACCCAGUGCCCAUCACAGCAGCUGCUUGGUGUAGGCCACCCUUCCACCCUCCCAGCAGACUCACAGGAAAAGCAAACACAAGGAUCCCGUCAUUCAUGCAUCAACUCUACAGACAGUGGAGAGUGAAAGGGGCCUGGGGUCAGUUCUGGGGACCCACUGCCUGUGGGAUGUGAGGACUCACUAGUGGGUUAUCCUACAGCCGUAACGGCUGGCCAGCUGCUAAAGCUGCCUGGCUUCAGAAGAUGGAGGAGUGCCGUCGUCGCGUCUGUGUGGACUCACUAGCAAGGCGAAGAUGCAUCUCGUACAAUCCACCCCGCCAGAUUCCCGCUAUUUAUCUCAAUAAACGCCAGGGAGCCUCUCUCUCUCCUUGCUGUAAAAUGCUCAUA